UGAUCUUGCUUGGUUUUGUUGAGUAAGAAAUUCAAAUAGGUCUUUAUCAUUUGUAAGUGUUCUACAUCUCUUCCUUAUGUAUGAAAAUAAAGCAUUUCAAAUUUUCACUUUAUAAGAUAGGCAAGGAUUUCAAUGAUGAAUUAAAUGUAGAUUGCUUUUGGGUUUUAUCAAUCAGUUUUUAUAUAUUGCAUAUUUUAAGUUAAAACUUCUUAAAGUUGUGUAUCUUAAUUUUAGAUUUCCAAAAUGCUAUCAUACAUUCAAAUUGGAGUUGAUUUAAAAUUUUAGUAAUAUUUAGAUUAGGAAGUGGUUCACUACUUAAGCAGUUUCAUAUAUCUCUUGUUUGAAAAGGCAUUUUUUAGUUUUUGGUGAUUAAUUUAUUGUAGAUAUUUUUAAACACAAGUAUCUUGAAGUUAAGUUUGUAGUGGUAGAAAAUUCAAUGCUAUUAAAUCAAAAUAAAAUUUGUGGCGAUUUUUGAAGUGGAGAGAGGUUGCUGCCAAAAUUGGAAUAUAAUUGAGGUUA
rnacentral:lncRNA from 1 species